GAUGAACGCUGGCGGCGUGCUUAACACAUGCAAGUCGAACGAUGAAGCCUAGCUUGCUGGGUGGAUUAGUGGCGAACGGGUGAGUAACACGUGAGCAACCUGCCCCUCACUCUGGGAUAAGCGCUGGAAACGGCGUCUAAUACUGGAUACGAAACGCAACCGCAUGGUUAGUGUUUGGAAAGAUUUUUUGGUGGGGGAUGGGCUCGCGGCCUAUCAGCUUGUUGGUGAGGUAAUGGCUCACCAAGGCGUCGACGGGUAGCCGGCCUGAGAGGGUGACCGGCCACACUGGGACUGAGACACGGCCCAGACUCCUACGGGAGGCAGCAGUGGGGAAUAUUGCACAAUGGGCGGAAGCCUGAUGCAGCAACGCCGCGUGAGGGAUGACGGCCUUCGGGUUGUAAACCUCUUUUAGCAAGGAAGAAGCGAAAGUGACGGUACUUGCAGAAAAAGCGCCGGCUAACUACGUGCCAGCAGCCGCGGUAAUACGUAGGGCGCAAGCGUUAUC
rnacentral:rRNA from 1 species